GGAAUUUUGCGCAAUGGGGGAAACCCUGACGCAGCGACGCCGCGUGGAGGAUGAAGGCCUUCGGGUCGUAAACUCCUGUCAGAGGUGAAGAAUACCCGCAAGGGUUUGACGGUAACCUCAGAGGAAGCCCCGGCUAACUACGUGCCAGCAGCCGCGGUAAUACGUAGGGGGCAAACGUUGCUCGGAAUUACUGGGCGUAAAGGGUGAGUAGGCGGCUGGGCAAGUCAAGGAUGAAAUCCCGUGGCUUAACUGCGGAACUGUCCUUGAAACUGCCUAGCUUGAGGAUAGUUGAAGAGAAGGGAAUUCCCGGUGGAGCGGUGAAAUGCGUAGAUAUCGGGAGGAACACCUGAGGCGAAGGCGCUUCUCUAAGCUACUCCUGACGCUGAAUCACGAAAGCUAGGGGAGCAAACGGGAUUAGA
rnacentral:rRNA from 1 species